rnacentral:tRNA from 1 species
GCCGAAGUGGUGGAACUUGGUAGACACGCCAUCUUGAGGGGGUGGUGGGGAGACCCGUGCGGGUUCAAAUCCCGCCUUCGGCACCA